CAUUAAGUGACUUAAAAAAAAAGUGUUGGUCUCUUAAACCAAAUUAUAGUAAACAAAUACUCUUGAUGA
rnacentral:tRNA from 1 species